CUGUCAACAGUUCACGAUUUCACGAAAUUAUCGGAAGUUAAGUUGAAGUAAUCAUUUGCAGAUAAGGAUCACGAGCGACUGAAACUUGUGACCGAUGAACCUUUGACCCAUUAAUACUAUAUCAUAGUAUGCAGGCCCGUGAUUGUUGUUCUACGGACCGGGUUUGAAACUUUGAGCCCAUCAUAUAGGGGCGGUUGCAUGCUCCGCCACCCACUGCACUGCGGUCCUUGCACGGUACGGUCAGUGACGGUGUAUCAAUCUUUUUGCAGUACUUUUUGCUCUCGCCCUCAAGAUGGCCAGUACAUGUACAUCAUGUACUCAUUUGAGAUACAAGGACAAGGUUGCCUUGGUUACUGGUGGAUCUAAAGGAAUUGGCGAAGGAGUUGUGCGGGAAUUUGUCAAGGCAGGAGCAAAAGUUGCAUUUUGUGCAAGAGGGGUGGAGGUUGGCAAAGCUCUGGAGGAUGAAGUCAACAAGGCUGGGCCAGGAGAAUGUUUCUUCAUUAAGUGCGAUGUCGAAAAUGAAGAGGAGAUUAAGAGAACUGUAGAGCAGACAGUGGAAAAAUAUAAAAGACUAGAUUGUCUGGUCAACAAUGCUGGAUGGCACCCCCCUGAGGAGUCCAUCGAUGACAUCACAGUGGAACAUUUCAAGUGGCUCAUCAACUUCAAUCUCGUCAGCUAUUUCUCCUUUAGCAAGUAUGCACUGCCCCAUCUCCGAAAGAACAAAGGCAACAUCAUCAAUAUGUCCAGUCUAGUAGCUAAGAUUGGGCAGAAGAGUGCUGUGCCGUACGUAACAACAAAGGGAGGUAUUGAUGCAAUGACGAGGGCUAUGGCUGUCGAUGAAGCCAAGUACGAAGUUCGUGUCAACAGCGUCUCCCCUGGCAAUGUUUGGACACCCCUGUGGGAAGGUUUGGCAAAUGCCUCUCCCAACCCUGAGGCAAUGAGGACAGGUGGAGCUGAGGCACAGCUGAUUGGUCGGUUUGGCACGCUGGAGGAAUCAGGCAAGCUGUGCUUAUUCAUUGCUGCCGACGCCACCUUCUGCACUGGCAACGACUAUUUGCUGUCGGGAGGGGCGGAGCUAAACUACGGGUGCAAGACCCAAAUGAAGGAACGCAGCAAUAUCUAUGAGUAAAUUGUCCUUGGGGCCAUGCAGUUCCAUGGAGAUAUUAAGUUGUUUUCUCUGAAUAAAUUUUCCCACCCAAAAACAACCAAUUUGCCGGGGACUGUAGCUAAAUGUGACUCGGUCCAUUUUAUGCUUCAAUAUCACUUGCUUCCAAGUGAUUGUGAAGGCACAGAUGGAGCCAAAGCCAAAAGUGAAGCCAGUGAUUCGGAAAUUGCACCACUUGUUGGUGGGGUUGGGUUGAGGUCUAGUAAAUUUUGGGGCAGCACUGAAAUUUUACUUUGUUAGGAAGACCCCACUGAUUGUUUUUAAUAAGUGCAAAUUGUGUAAUGUAUGAAAAAUUAAUCUAUAAACUAUUUUAAAAUGUCAGUACUUUUAACAAACUUAAUUGAUUCUUUCCAAACAUUGCCAAAAGAGAUAUAUCUUAAGAAAUAAUUUCUGUGUAAAAGUUAGUAGUAAAGCCUGUAUCAAUGUGCCUUCCAUUUCGUAAACACAGGAUUAUUAUGAAAAACUGUUAUAAUUUAGCUUGAAUUUAUCAAUUUGUAACUUCUGUAUCAAUUUCAAUUUUUCAAAUAAAUCUCGUAUCAGUUUCAGUUUGAAUUGGAGUAGAGUGAAUAUUGCUUGGUACUUUUGUCUAAGGAUAAAAAAUAUUUCUUAAGCCAGUUCACGUCUGGACUAUUUGAACAAGAACAGAAUGAGGCGUGGGAUUAUUUUUCACUGGACCUCAACAGAUGGAAGCCAUCACCCUCGGGCAGCGCACUCAUUCAAAUUUCCGGCCUCGCUCCCUGCGAGAGGGUCGCUGACAGAUAUUGCUGGCCUCGCUCCCUGCGUGUUUAUCUGUCAUCCGUUCCGAAUACUGCAAAACCUUAAUGAAUAAACACGUCAUGUGGCGCGAACUGGUUAAAUGUUAGCAUUUAUUCCAAUAUGUAAAAUUUUGAAUGAACUUUACAUUCAGUGUAAAAGUGUAGUUUAGGACACCUCCAUUUUUUACUAGUUCCAUUGGAAAAA
rnacentral:misc_RNA from 1 species